AUUGAACGCUGGCGGCAUGCUUUACACAUGCAAGUCGAACGGUAACAGGCCGCAAGGUGCUGACGAGUGGCGAACGGGUGAGUAAUGCAUCGGAACGUGCCCAGUCGUGGGGGAUAACGCAGCGAAAGCUGCGCUAAUACCGCAUACGAUCACUGGAUGAAAGCGGGGGACCGAAAGGCCUCGCGCGGUGGGAGCGGCCGAUGUCAGAUUAGGUAGUUGGUGGGGUGAAGGCCCACCAGGCCAACGAUCUGUAGCUGGUCUGCGAGGACGACCAGCCACACUGGGACUGAGACACGGCCCAGACUCCUACGGGAGGCAGCAGUGGGGAAUUUUGGACAAUGGGCGCAAGCCUGAUCCAGCAAUGCCGCGUGCAGGAAGAAGGCCUUCGGGUUGUAAACUGCUUUUGUACGGAACGAAACGGUCCUGGUUAAUACCUGGGGCUAAUGACGGUACCGUAAGAAUAAGCACCGGCUAACUACGUGCCAGCCGCCGCGGUAAAAC
rnacentral:rRNA from 1 species